CAGGAUUUUUUCUCGGAUGAAUUAGUAUAUAUAUAUAUAUACAUACAAUGAGGAAAUUAAACUGCAUAAUGCAGACUAAUUCUUAAGGAUAUGUUCCCAGGAUCAAUACCUUGGGACUAAGGUUUAGCCUAGGCUUGGCUUGGAUGGGCGUAUCGUAUGUUGAUUACCAAGCGGCAGAUUAUGGCCCGUUGCUAUCUGCGUACUUGGCUUACAAGCGCUGUGGAAGGCUCUGCUUCCAGGGAGCCAGAACGAUUGGUGUGGCGGCAAUCAGCAUUUGGUUCAAGUUUAAUGCACUUUUUGCGCAGCAGCAAAUUCCCAACACUCCACAUAUAAUAGUACAUAUCUCAUCUAAGUAUUGACACUGGCAAUCUGGCGGCACUGGCGGCAUGCCGGACCGGACUCGCUUCUACAUACAAAAGAAGAGAGACAGCGACAGCAACAGCAACAGAUACAGAUACGGAAUGAAAAGCUAAGUAAACAAUUUGUUGCUGGCUUGAGUUUUGACACAAUUCUAUGCGGGAAUCGAUCCGGCCCAAGCGAAUCUCUCAAUCACCUGGCAUUGCUGCUAAAAUGCUUGUAAAGGAAAAGAUCUUUUAUCCCUCCGACUAAAAUAUGUCCCUGCAUGUUCCCUGAUUGGGCCACUUUCAGGCUCAAGAAGAUUCACAGUAAUACGUUUACCUAUUUGUUGUGGGAUUUACUGAUAAGAACACUUCUAUACCGAAGC
rnacentral:sRNA from 1 species